rnacentral:snRNA from 1 species
GUGCUUGCUUCGGCAAAACAUAUACUAAAAAAUUGAAACGAUACAGAGAAGAUUAGCAUGGCCCCUGCGCAAGGAUGACACAUAAAUUCGUGAAGUGUUCCAUAUUGAG